UUAUUAGAAAACGAUAUCCUUAAUUAAUAUUGAAAAAACUUUAAAUAUUACCCUUAUAGUUUUAUACUUUCUUACUUUAGUAACAUAUGGUUUAAAGUGUAUCAUGUUCGUGCCCUAUUAUUUUAUUUUUCUCUUUUUAUUAUUCUCUAUAUUAAUUUUUUUUUUAUUAAAUCAGUGACAGAAUUAAAAUUAAAGGGUACUAAAAGAAAUAUUCAAUAAACUAUAGAUAGAGUAGAAGUUGACGAAAAGAAAUAAAAUAAAAUUACAGAAUACUAAAUUGAUACAUUUUAAAUUAUAAAAUACUAAAAUGAUAAAGUGCGAAAUCACAGAAAUGGUAUUUGAAAUUUACCUUUUAAUAUUUACAUUCAAAAAAUCCUCCCCAGAUUCUACUUCAUCUCCUUCUCCACCGUCUCUUAAACUAAU
rnacentral:lncRNA from 1 species